rnacentral:rRNA from 1 species
GACGAACGCUGGCGGCGUGCUUAACACAUGCAAGUCGAACGGAAAGGCCCUGCUUUUGUGGGGUGCUCGAUUGGCGAACGGGUGAGUAACACGUGAGUAACCUGCCCUUGACUUUGGGAUAACUUCAGGAAACUGGGGCUAAUACCGGAUAGGAGCUCCUGCUGCAUGGUGGUGGUUGGAAAGUUUCGGCGUUUGGGGAUGUACUCGCGGCUUAUCAGCUUGUUGGUCGGGUAGUGGCUUACCAAGCUUUCGACGGAUAGGCGGCCUGGGAAGGUGGCCGGCGACAUUGCGACUAAGAUACGGCCCAGAAUCGUACGGGAGGCAGAAGGGGAGAAUAUUGCACAAUGGGCGGACGCCUGAUGCAGCAACGCCGCGUGCGGGAUGACGGCCUUCGGGGUGUAAACCGAUUUCGACUGUAACGAAGCGUGAGUGACGGUAAUGGGUAAAGAAGCACCGGCUAACUACGUG